rnacentral:rRNA from 1 species
UACGUAGGGUGCGAGCGUUAAUCGGAAUUACUGGGCGUAAAGCGUGCGCAGGCGGUUAUGCAAGCCAGACGUGAAAGCCCCGGGCUUAACCUGGGAAUGGCGUUUGGGACUGCAUGGCUAGAGUACGUCAGAGGGGGGUGGAAUUCCACGUGUAGCAGUGAAAUGCGUAGAGAUGUGGAGGAACACCGAUGGCGAAGGCAGCCCCCUGGGAUGAUACUGACGCUCAGGCACGAAAGCGUGGGGAGCGAACAGG